rnacentral:rRNA from 1 species
AAAGUUUUGCAUGGAAUAAUGGAAUAGGACUUCGGUUCUAUUUCGUUGGUUUUCGGAUCCGAAGUAAUGAUCAAAAGAGACAGGCGGGGACGUUUGUAUGGCUGCGCUAGAGGUGAAAUUCAUGGACCGUAGCCAGACAAACUAAAGCGAAAGCAUUCGUCAAGCAUGUUUUCAUUGACCAUGAGCGAAAGUCAGAGGCUCGAAGACGAUCAGAUACCGUCCUAGUUCUGACCAUAAACGAUGCCAACUGACGAUCCGUGGCGGUAGUCUACAAACCUUCCCCACGGGCAGUCCCCGGGAAACCUUUAAGUCUUUGGGUUCCGGGGGAAGUAUGGUUGCAAAGCUGAAACUUAAAGGAAUUGACGGAAGGGCACCACCAGGAGUGGAGCCUGCGGCUUAAUUUGACUCAACACGGGAAAACUCACCCGGGCCGGACACUAUGAGGAUUGACAGAUUGAUAGC